UCCGGCAGGAUGAUCAUGUCCCUCAGGUGU
rnacentral:piRNA from 1 species